rnacentral:tRNA from 1 species
CCCCAGGUGAUGCAAAUGUUAACAUGUUUGGCUGUUAACCGAAAGGUUGAAGGUUCAAGUCCACCCCAGAGGC